rnacentral:rRNA from 1 species
GCCUACGGGGCGCAGCAGUGAGGAAUAUUGGUCAAUGGGCGGGAGCCUGAACCAGCCAAGCCGCGUGAAGGAAGAAGGCGCCAGGCGUCGUAAACUUCUUUUGUCGGGGAACAAAGGGCGCCACGUGUGGCGUUGUGAGUGUACCCGAAGAAAAAGCAUCGGCUAACUCCGUGCCAGCAGCCGCGGUAAUACGUAGGGGGCAAGCGUUAUCCGGAUUUACUGGGUGUAAAGGGGGCGCAGACGGCAAUGCAAGCCAGGAGUGAAAGCCCGGGGCCCAACCCCGGGACUGCUCUUGGAACUGCAUG